ensembl:lncRNA
CACUGGUGUCCCAAGGUGUAUUCCACCACGACCCUGACCAUGAUAAAGCAGUUACUGAAGCUGAAGCCUUGGAAAAGGGAGAUAGUACCUUAAAUAAAGAUCAGUCACUAACUGAUUGCUUUCAGAGCUCUUUUUGUGAAGGUGAAUUCAUAGUAGUUUAGUUUACUUACCCUUUUCAUCCAAGUCAAGUUUGUCAUCCAAGUCCACAAACAUUAAACUUCCAAUCAAUGGAGUUAAUUCAUAUCCGCUUAAUUGAAGUCAACAUGCAAGCUAGCCAGCUAUAAAAGCCCACUCACUUGAAUGAACAUAUAGUAGAUACUUUAUGCAACACCUUUGGUAGUGGUUAAUUUCACAUGCACCUCAUCCUAGUGAGAUGGGUUAGCACUUUGGCUCACACCUCAAGGGUUGGGGGUUCAAAUCCCUCCUUCGCCCUGUGUGUGCUGAGUUUACGUGUUCUCCCUGUGCUUCGGGGGUUUCCUCCGGAUACUCCAGUUUCAUCCCCCAGUCCAAAGACAUGCGCUGUAGGCUGAUUGGCAUUUCCAAAUUGUCCAUACUGUGCAGUUGUGUCCUGCGAUGGGUUGGCACCCUGUCCAGGGUGUCCCCCGACUUGUGCCUGAGUUCCCUGGGAUAGACUCCAGGCUCCUCUGUGACCCUGUGUAUGAUAAACGGUACAGAAAAUGGAUGGAUGGAUGGAUUUUUGCAUCCUCCAGGGUCGUCUUGUGUUUCCCUCAGCCACCGCUCCUAACAUAAGGUGAGGUGUAAGGUGAUAACAUAAGAUGAAAGAUGCAGCUACUUUUUGCCCUAAAAAACUGUGAAUUUAAAACACACUUUUGUCUUUAUUGACAGAAAUUGUAGCACACUUACUGAGGUAAAGGAGAGGAUAGAGGUCAAGAGCAAAAAAUGGAGUAAGUGGGGGGAGGGGUUAAAAAAGUACCUAUAAUACACACACACACACACACACACACUGUUUCCUUUGCUAUUCAUCUGUGUAUAUUAUUCACCAUUCACUU